GCGUCCUUAGCUCAGUUGGUUAGAGCGCUGCCUUGACAUGGCAGAGGUCGGUAGUUCGAAUCUACUAGGACGCACCA
rnacentral:tRNA from 2 species